CCUACGGGAGGCAGCAGUGAGGAAUAUUGGUCAAUGGACGAGAGUCUGAACCAGCCAAGUAGCGUGAAGGAUGACUGCCCUAUGGGUUGUAAACUUCUUUUAUAUGGGAAUAAAAUGUUCCACGUGUGGGAUUUUGUAUGUACCAUAUGAAUAAGGAUCGGCUAACUCCGUGCCAGCAGCCGCGGUAAUACGGAGGAUCCGAGCGUUAUCCGGAUUUAUUGGGUUUAAAUGGAGCGUAGGUGGAUUGUUAAGUCAGUUGUGAAAGUUUGCGGCUCAACCGUAAAAUUGCAGUUGAAACUGGCAGUCUUGAGUACAGUAGAGGUGGGCGGAAUUCGUGGUGUAGCGGUGAAAUGCUUAGAUAGCACGAAGAACUCCGAUUGCGAAGGCAGUUCACUGGACUGCAACUGACACUGAGGCUCGAAAGUGUGGGUAUCAAACAGGAUCAGAUACCCGGGUAGUC
rnacentral:rRNA from 1 species